rnacentral:rRNA from 1 species
UCCUCAUGUUGCAAAAAACGGAGGAUGACUCGGUCGGGUCUUUCCCCUAUCAGGUCUCGUAGGGAGUGUAUUGAACUCUCUAGCCUUUGACGGGUAACGGAGAAUUAGGGUUCGAUUCCGGAGAAGGAGCCUGAGAGAUGGCUACUACAUCUAAGGAAGGCAGCAGGCGCGUAAAUUUCCCAAUGUUCAUUGAACGAGGAAGUGACGAUCAAUAAUAAUGUGCGUGUUUUAAACAUGUGCAAUUAGAAUGAAAACAAGUUAAAAAUCUUAUUGACAUCAAUUGGAGGGCAAGUCUGGUGCCAGCAGCCGCGGUAAUUCCAGCUCCAAUAGGAUAUAUCAAAGUUGUUGCAGUUGAAAAGCUCGUAGUCGUAUUUCUGGUGGGUUGAUGCUGUCAAUGAUUCUAAUGAAAGUUGGAAUUUUUUGAUGGCCGCCUGCCAUUUUGUGGAACAAUGUGGUUAGACUGUGGUUUACUCUAUGGUUUAAUUGCACCACUCAGUCACUGAGAGCAAAUUGGAGUGCUCAAAGCAGGCUUUACAGCUUUGAACAUCUUAGCUUGGAAUGACAAAGUAUGACUUUUUGUUCACUUUGUUGGUUAUGAAUAUUAAGUAAUGAUAAAUAGGAACAGUUGCGGGGGUACUCGUACUGGAAAGUCAGAGGUGAAAUUCUUGGAUUUUUCCACGACGAACGACUGCGAAAGCAUUUACCAAGGAUGUUUUCAUUGAUCAAGAACGAAAGUGCGAGGAUCGAAGAUGAUUAGAUACCAUCGUAGUUCGCACAGUAAACGAUGCCGACUCGGGAUUGUCUUUUUUUCGUUUUAUAGAAGGAUGACAGCACCGUAUGUGAAAACAAAGUCUUUGGGUUCCGGGGGGAGUAUGGUCGCAAGGUUGAAACUUAAAGGAAUUGACGGAAGGGCACACCAGAGGUGGAGCCUGCGGUUUAAUUUGACCCAACACGGGGAAACUCACCAGGUCCAGACAUGAGAAGGAUUGACAGUUUGAAAGCACUUUCUUGAUUUCAUGGUUGGUGGUGCAUGGCCGUUCUUAGUUGGUGGAGUGAUUUGUCUGGUUGAUUCCGAUAACGAACGAGACUCUCAGAUUAAACUGGUCAAGAGAAUAAUUCACGUUAUUCUCGGCCUCUUUUAUCGACUAUUCGUUUUAAACGAAAGGAAGCGGAGAGCAAUAACAGGUCUGUGAUGCCCCUCGAUGUUCUGGGCUACACGCGCGCUACAAUGACGAGUUCAACGAGUUGUUUUUUCCUUGCCCGGAAGGGUGUGGGUAAUCUUUUCAAUGCUCGUCGUGAUGGGGCUAGAUUUUUGCAAUUAUUAAUCUUCAACGAGGAAUCUCUAGUAUGUGCAGUUCAUCAGACUGCGCAGAAUGCGUCCCUGCCCUUUGUACACACCGCCCGUCGCACCUACCGAUUGGACGAUCCGGCAAGAUGUUUGGAGUUGUGUUUAUUUUGUUUUCGGACAAUGUGAAUGCGACGAAGCUCUUCAAACCUUAUCGCCUGCGGAAGGAUCAUCG